rnacentral:ncRNA from 1 species
CCAGCGGGACGACCCGCAGGGCGUUUCUCGCGACGGGGACGGCCCCG